rnacentral:rRNA from 1 species
UACGGGGGGGGCAAGCGUUGUUCGGAAUUACUGGGCGUAAAGGGCGCGUAGGCGGUUUGCUAAGUUGGAUGUGAAAACUCUGGGCUUAACCCAGAGCCUGCAUCCAAAACUGGCAAACUUGAGUACUGGAGGGGAAAGCGGAAUUCCUGGUGUAGCGGUGAAAUGCGUAGAUAUCGGGAGGAACACCAGUGGCGAAGGCGAGUCUCUGGGAUGAUGCUGACGCUGAGGCGCGAAAGCCAGGGGAGCAAACGGG